rnacentral:lncRNA from 1 species
CUCUGUUUUCAUCUGUAAAAUCAUUGAAGAUAUGCUGCUAUGAAAUUCUACAGCAGAAAAGCUGCUGAAUGGCCAAUGCAGAGUUGCAGAUGCUGCCUUAAGUGAAGAAAUAUGGUAGGUGUUAUGACUGACAUUUAAGUAGGAAGAACAAUUGUAAUAGUUGUAUAUGGUUGUCACAUUCUAAAACAGCAAAUCCAACAGCAGAAGCAUGAAACUGCAAAAAAAAAUUAAGCCAAAGCAAGAAAACAAGCUAAUUGCAUAGGCAACAAUGAUAGUUCAUUCCAGAUCAGAAGCCUAUUGAAAAAUUAUUGACAGCCAUGAGAAGAUGAGAACUCACAAUAAUUUUAUUACUGAAAAAACAGGAUUUCUAUCCAUCAGGAUAUACAUUUUUCUUGAUAGUAAUAAACAGAAUUAAGGAUUUUGCUUUGUCUACCACACAGGAAAAGGAGUUCCCAUUUUGGUGACUUUUUUAACACCAUAAGAUGUUCAUAAAAUUAGUGAAUAACACAAUAAGCUGACAUUCUAAUUGUUGGACAAGUGGGUUUGUUUUUUAAAAAAUGUGUCCUUAAAUGCAUACUAAAAUUACAAAGCUUCUUAAUAAAUUCAGUAAUAAAAAGGAAGAAGAAAAGAAAUAAAGUAUGUGUUAUUUUUGUAAAGCUUCUUUAGAAUGAAUACAUUGUAGGUCUCAGCAGGUCCCUGAGUUAAAUAAGCCAGUUAUAAACUAUGCCUGCUGCUUCUUUUGUAACCUUGAUUUCUUCUUCACAGAAAGCUUUGUAUGAAGCAUCUUUUUUCUCUUUUACUUGAUAUGAGAUCUCACUCUUUAGCUUGAGUUCCAUUCUGUCUUUAAGUUUUGUAAAGCCUUUAUUCCAUCCUGAUCAUUGCUCAUGUGGAAGACAAGAUGCUAUUAUUUAAAUCUCUGAAAUGAAAAGUAACAAUGACUUCUUUAACAACAACAAAAACCAUAUUGUCUUGUCAUCUCUCAGAAAACUGUGGUGUGAUGGUAUGACAACGU